rnacentral:rRNA from 1 species
UUUGAUCAUGGCUCAGAUUGAACGCUGGCGGGAUGCUUUACACAUGCAAGUCGAACGGCAGCACGGACUUCGGUCUGGUGGCGAGUGGCGAACGGGUGAGAAUGGGCAUCCGAACGCCUAGUAGGGGGAUAACGACGCAGUGCAAUGGAGCCGCACACGCCUUCGGGUGGCAGACCUUCGGCCCACCGGUUGUGACGCCAUAUCGACAGCUAGUUGUAAAAACGCUCACGGUGCGGCGAUCCGUAGCUGGUUUGAGAGGACGACCAGCCACACUGGGACUGAGACACGGCCCAGACUCCUACGGAGGCAGGGGAAUUCUGACAAUGGGGGAAAACCCCUGAUCCAGCCAUCCCGCGUGUGCGAUGAAGGCCUUCGGGUUGUAAAGCACUUUGGCAGAAGAAACGGGACGUGGAUAACACUCCAGCAACUGACGCGUACCAGAAUAACACCGGCUAACUACGCCACAGCAGUCGCGGUAAUACGUAGGUGCAAGCGUUAAUCGGAAUUACUGGCAAAAGCGUGCAGGCGGUUCGGAAGAAAGAUGUGAAAUCCAGAGCUUAACUUUUGAACCGUAUUUUUAACUACCGAGCUAGAUGUGUCAGAGGGAGGUGGAAUUCCGCGUGUAGCAGCGGAAUGCGUAGAUAUGCGGAGGAACACCGAUGGCGAAGGCAGCCUCCUGGGAUAACACUGACGCUCAUGCACGAAAGCGUGGGAGCAAACAGGAUUAGAUACACCCUGGUAGUCCACGCCCUAAACGAUGUCAACUAUUGCUGGGGCCUUCGGGCCUUGGUAGCGCAGCGCCAAUCGCGUGAAGUUGACCUGCUUGUGAGUACGGUCGCAAGAUUAAAACUCAAAGGAAUUGACGGGGACCCGCACAAGCGGUGGAUGAUGUGGAUUAAUUCGAUGCAACGCGAAAAACCUUAACACCCUGACAUGUUCCGAAUCCCGAAGAUUGGGAGUGUCGCAGAACCGGAACACAGGUGCUGUAGGCUGUCACGCUCGUGUCGAGAUGUUGGGUUAAGUCCUGCAACGAGCGCAACCCCUUGUCAUUAGUUGCCACGAAAGGGCACUCUAUCGAGACUGCCGGUGAUAAACCGGAGGAAGGUGCGAUGACGUCAAGUCCUCGCGGUCUUAAGGCAGGGGGAUUCACACGUCACAAUGGUCGGGACAGAGGGCCGCUAACCCGGCGAGGGAGCUAAUCCCAGAAACCCGAUCGUAGUCCGGAUCGCAGUCUGCAACCUGACCGCGUGAAGUCGGACCGGGCGCAGACCGCGGAUCAGCAUGUCGCGAAUACGUUCCCGCUCGUACACACCGCCCGUCACACCAUGGGAGUGGGUUUUACCACAGAAGUAGUUAGCCCAACCGUAAGGGAGGAAGUGAUUACCACGGUAGGAGAUUCAGAUGCGAUCGGGGUGAAGUCGUAACAAGGUAACCC